CCCGGGGCUGCUUUGCAAAAUAGUUUUGCAAUCAUCUGAAAAGCUGCUGGAAAAUUCACCGUUGUGAUUACUGUUUCAAGGAGACAGAAGGUCCAUGUGUGUGGAGAGCCAAGGGAAUCACUGAUGGAAGGAUUCGUGCAGUAGCCAUGUUUGUCAAAGUAUUUGGCACCAGUGACAUCAUCUUUGCUGAAAUGCCGGACAGCGUGAUGAGUCCCAGAUGUUAA
rnacentral:lncRNA from 12 species